UGCCUUUAUGUGUUGCCCUUUCAUUGCUUCCUUCAUGUUUGGGGUGUCAAAUAAGGCAAACAGAGACUCUUGCGGUUGUUGGUAAAGUGAGUUUCCACCGACUCGUUUUACGUAAACAUCUGCACGGACACGC
ensembl:snoRNA